rnacentral:rRNA from 1 species
GUGUCAGCCGCCGCGGUAAUACGUAGGCAGCAAGCGUUGUUCGGAGUUACUGGGCGUAAAGAGUGCGUAGGCGGUUUUGCAAGUCUGUUGUGAAAUCUCCCGGCUUAACUGGGAGGGUGCGGUGGAAACUGCAAAGCUGGAGUGUGGGAAAGGUAGGCGGAAUUCCUGGUGUAGCGGUGAAAUGCGUAGAUAUCAGGAGGAACACCGGUGGUGUAGACGGCUUACUAGACCAUGACUGACGCUGAGGCACGAAAGCGUGGGUAGCAAACAGGAUUAGAAACCCGUGUAGUCC